UGUGGGAGCGAGCCUGCUCGCGAUGGCGGCACGACAGUCACUGAAGCGGUGAAUGUCAGGCCGCUAUCGCGAGCAGGCUCGCUCCCACA
rnacentral:misc_RNA from 1 species